UGGGGAAUAUUGCACAAUGGGCGCAAGCCUGAUGCAGCCAUGCAGCGUGUGUGAAGAAGGCCUUCGGGUUGUAAAGCACUUUCAGCGGGGAGGAAGGCGAUAAGGUUAAUAACCUCAUCGAUUGACGUUACCCGCAGAAGAAGCACCGGCUAACUCCGUGCCAGCAGCCGCGGUAAUACGGAGGGUGCAAGCGUUAAUCGGAAUUACUGGGCGUAAAGCGCACGCAGGCGGUCUGUCAAGUCGGAUGUGAAAUCCCCGGGCUCAACCUGGGUACUGCAUUCGAAACUGGCAGGCUAGAGUCUUGUAGAGGGGGGUAGAAUUCCAGGUGUAGCGGUGAAAUGCGUAGAGAUCUGGAGGAAUACCGGUGGCGAAGGCGGCCCCCUGGACAAAGACUGACGCUCAGGUGCGAAAGCGUGGGGAGCAAACAGG
rnacentral:rRNA from 1 species